GGUGCUUGCAUCAUGAUUUACAUUUGAGUGAGUGGCGAACUGGUGAGUAACACGUGGGAAACCUGCCCAGAAGCGGGGGAUAACACCUGGAAACAGAUGCUAAUACCGCAUAACAACUUGGACCGCAUGGUCCGAGUUUGAAAGAUGGCUUCGGCUAUCACUUUUGGAUGGUCCCGCGGCGUAUUAGCUAGAUGGUGGGGUAACGGCUCACCAUGGCAAUGAUACGUAGCCGACCUGAGAGGGUAAUCGGCCACAUUGGGACUGAGACACGGCCCAAACUCCUACGGGAGGCAGCAGUAGGGAAUCUUCCACAAUGGACGAAAGUCUGAUGGAGCAACGCCGCGUGAGUGAAGAAGGGUUUCGGCUCGUAAAACUCUGUUGUUAAAGAAGAACAUAUCUGAGAGUAACUGUUCAGGUAUUGACGGUAUUUAACCAGAAAGCCACGGCUAACUACGUGCCAGCAGCCGCGGUAAUACGUAGGUGGCAAGCGUUGUCCGGAUUUAUUGGGCGUAAAGCGAGCGCAGGCGGUUUUUUAAGUCUGAUGUGAAAGCCUUCGGCUCAACCGAAGAAGUGCAUCGGAAACUGGGAAACUUGAGUGCAGAAGAGGACAGUGGAACUCCAUGUGUAGCGGUGAAAUGCGUAGAUAUAUGGAAGAACACCAGUGGCGAAGGCGGCUGUCUGGUCUGUAACUGACGCUGAGGCUCGAAAGUAUGGGUAGCAAACAGGAUUAGAUACCCUGGUAGUCCAUACCGUAAACGAUGAAUGCUAAGUGUUGGAGGGUUUCCGCCCUUCAGUGCUGCAGCUAACGCAUUAAGCAUUCCGCCUGGGGGAGUACGGCCGCAAGGCUGAAACUCAAAGGAAUUGACGGGGGGCCCGCACAAGCGGUGGAGCAUGUGGUUUAAUUCGAAGCUACGCGAAGAACCUUACCAGGUCUUGACAUACUAUGC
rnacentral:rRNA from 1 species